UCCUAAUAAGCUGCCAGUCCAGAAUUGCUGAAAAAGCCACUUAAAUGGUUGCUGAAAUCCUCUAAUAGGUAGUUAGUAACUUUUGAAAACUGACUUCCUUCAUCAAGUUUACGUGACGUGCAGAAUGUUAUGAUUUACAUAUAAUAGGUCAAACUUCAAGUGGUUUGUCUGUCUAGAUUCCUGUUUGUAUAUAAAGUAUAUUUUAUGUAUCAGAAAUGGGAUCUUUUUUAAAAACUUCACACAAAAUAUUGUGCUGUAAUUGUGUGUGAAAAAUUGUAAAAUGUUGGAAGUGUGCCCAAACAGUACUUUGCUUAUAUUAGGCCAAGUAAAAAAAAUAGUAGUUUCUCAGAUCUCUCCCCCCCCCGCCCUUUUUCCCUGCCGCAUGGAUUUUUUUCUUUUUUUUAAAUUUUAUAUUCGAGCCUUUCAAAGAAUUUCUACUUAGUGUAUUUCAGCUAUUUCGCUCCUUUCGACAUAGUUCGGUUGCCGUUCGGAAAUUUUCGUCAACUCUUGCUUGCUGUUCCAUAUGUUGGUGCCAUAUUGCAUUAGUAGCUGUUUGUCUAUUUUAAUAUAUUUACAUUUUAUGAGUAAAC